rnacentral:rRNA from 1 species
UACGUAGGGUGCAAGCGUUGUCCGGAAUUAUUGGGCGUAAAGGGCGCGUAGGCGGUUUGCUAAGUUGGAUGUGAAAACUCUGGGCUUAACCCAGAGCCUGCAUCCAAAACUGGCGAACUUGAGUACUGGAGGGGAAAGCGGAAUUCCUGGUGUAGCGGUGAAAUGCGUAGAUAUCAGGAGGAACACCGGUGGCGAAGGCGGCUUUCUGGACAGUAACUGACGCUGAGGCGCGAAAGCUAGGGGAGCAAACAGG